rnacentral:lncRNA from 1 species
GAUGAUCUGCUCUCCAUGAUGAAUAGAAAUCAAACUGUUUUUCUGAGUCAGAGGAGAGAGAUCCUCUCCUCUCCUCUCUGCUCUGCUCCGCUCCCCUCCCCUCUCCAUCCCAGCUCUCCUGUCAUCCUUUCAGUGUCCUUACCCUCCCCCCAAGUAAUUCCUAUGCUUUAAUACCAUCUAAGAGUCCUUAGUGAGAAGAGGAUCUGCUUGCUAUGCAGGUCUCCGUGCUGAACAACCCCAUGCAGAUAAUCUGAUUAUGCUAAUUUGUACUUCAUGAACCCAAAGUAAGGGGAUCUGCGAAGGGAGCUAACAGAAUCCCAGUUUGAUUUUACAUCAUCUUUGCUGUAGCUGGAACUGGCCAGGAAACAACCCUGAGAAAAAAAUAUAUAAAGGGUAUGGGAAAAAAAAUUCAAGAUUAAAGCAACCCCAGAAUUGUUUGCACUGGCAGAGACCCCCUGACAUCAUCUAGUCUAGGCCUUCUGCUCAAGCCAUAUCACCUAGAGUUGUUUGCUCAGAACUGUACCCAGUCAAGUAUCUCCACAUAUCCUUUGUUAUUACACGGGAAAAUGGGAGAGAGAAGGAAGAGAAUAGCUCUGCACUCUGCCUGAAAUAGGACAGCUCCUCUUUCUCAUGCAGAACAGACUGUUUGUUCAGUCCUGCACCUCUAAGAAGAAUGCCUCUGGACACCAUUUUAUGAAAGCUAAUGGAAGAGGAAAAGAAAAUCCUGAGCAGCUGGAUGAAGCAGGCCCACAGCUGCUGCGUUACCUACCUGUGAUGAAAGGCAUGAAAAUUUGAAAGGAGACAGGACCAGACCUUCUGUAGGAAAACUGGAAAAGGAGGGUAAUUGGUGUGAUGAAGCUGGAAGGUGAGAAAAGGUAAAGGUGGGGCCUGAGUAUAUGGGAAUUGACUGAAGGCAUGCAUGCAGAAGUAAGGUGACAAAAGUGGAAUGAAUAAUCAGAUUCUCAAAGACUGACAGGUGUACUGAGCCAU